UAAGUCUGCACCCAGGAUCUGGGCGGGUGAACCUUGAGCCGAGCGUGUGAACUUAACCGCUGUGCCAUCGGGCCGACCCCAAAGUAUUCAUUCUUAAAGAGACCUUAAAGAACAUCUAGUCUAGUAGUCGGUGAACUAACUACUAGUUGAUGGCAGAUAUCUUUCUUCAAAGAAAGCCUCAGUACCAAAAGCAAACAAUAUGUUGGAUGGGGUGGCCCAACCGCUCCUUUCCCGAAGGGUCCAGAGGAGCAUUGUUUGCAAAUCAUUGAUAUGCUAGACCUGUCUCAUUUUAUAGAUUAGGAAACUGAGGCCCAGAAAAGAAAUGACUUGGCCAAGAUGACUUUUCUAUUUGAUGACAGCACUGGGGCUCAACCUACAUUUCUUGAAUCUCUUUUUGGCCAAAGGUCUUUCCACCAUAUUAUGUUAUUUCAUUGAAAUGCUAGAUUUGAAAGUCUGGUGGUGCUUUCUAGUUUGCAUUCAUUUGUAGUUCUGAGAUGCUGAGAGAUGUUUGCCAACGUGAGUCUGGGGAGUAUCUGAGAAGCUGGAGGGAAAUGUUGGAGAGUCCCUACCCACCACCCCGCCCUCAGCACUGCCAAGCAAGGCUGAUCAUAUAAAAAAAAAUGUUUAAUGAGUUCACUGUGCAUUUUGUUUCUGCUGCUUCUUGCCUGUGGGCUUCAGUCAAAAGAAUCUGGAUUGGAAGCCCAGCCAAACACUUUCAACAGAUCAAAUCACAGUCACGCUGUCAUCCGAUAGAAAUGUAGCAUCACCCGAACCUCUGGGCUCUUGUUCACACAUGUGGAUUCUAACCAGCAAAGGAAUAAGCUGCAGCACCCACAAGCAAAUAUCUCUGAACUUCACUGAGAUUGAUGACAAUGGUAAUAAAAAUAGUCUUUUCCAUGACGAACACUACCAGUAAGUCAACAGUUAAAAAGGGAUAGUUUUAAGAGUAACCAAUGCAUUAGCUCUUGUCAAUGAGAUUCCUUUUGGCAGUAAUAUAUUCUGGGGAUUAAGUUAAACCAAAUGUUUGUAACAAUGGAAAUGUAGUCAUGUUAACAGUUAGGAUUAUCGUCCCAGUGAAUAUUUACUGUAGUUACAUUCAAAUUUACCCUUUAAUUUACCCCUUUGGACACUGUUUGAUCAUUUUCCUCUCUUUUUGAUGAAUUCCAUUUUAGAUUAAAACCAGCAGAAAGCAUCCUUUAACAUUUUAAAAGCCUUGCAGUUUAUUUUCUUUUAAAAUGUUUAUGCUUUUUUUUUUUUUUUUUUUUUUUGAGCUGCUACUCACCCUGCUGUCUGCACAGUGAUGAGAGUAGGCGGUGAAAGUCCUGCUUGAGAAAGUUCUGUGAGUUCUUUGGCCACACUUGACCUUACUGGUGCUCAUAACUCUCAGACCAAGCCAUGACUGAAUACUACAUGGCAUUUUUCCUGAUUUCUCUUUGAUUUCACAUCCAUUUUCUGCCACUUGGUUACUUGGUGGCCAUGCAGGUAAGAGGCCGAGUGUUGACUUUAUAACCUGGGAGCCCAUUCGUAUGUGACCUCACAUAAAGUUUCUGCUGGCUCCUGGGUGACUCUGGAGAUUCCUGGGUGCAGAAUUCAGCAAGAUCAGGACCUAGUGUUGUGUAUCACAAAUAUACGUUGUUAUUUACAGGACUUUUCUGAAAAUGGCCCUGUCUCGUAAUAUUUUUGUUGAUUGGUGUAAGGAAAAUUCUUUUAUCUCAUUUGGCCAUAAGUGACACCUUAUCAUGUUUUUACUCUGUCAAAUGGGUGGAUGAGGGUGUUAGAGAAUUUGCACUUUGGGUUGCUUGGAUAAUGUUUUCUUUUGUCACUUUUGACCAUUUACACACAAGGAUGACAUUUAUUCCUCCACAUGGAAAGAGAGGAGAGAGGCCCCAUGAAUGGCUUCAGAGCACCUAUGACCCAGAUGCCUUGAGAGGGCCCUCGCAGCCCACCAUGCCGGCGGGAGUGUCCUUUACUCUCCCAGGCUGCCAGAUUCCAGCAAGCUCAGAGAGCCCAAGGACGAAUGUUUGUAACAGUGGAAAUGUACUCAUGUUAACAGUUGGGAUUAUCAUCCCAGUUAAUAUUUGCUGUAGUUACAUUCAAAUUUACCCUUUUGGACACUGUUUGAUCAGUGGGCGAGGAAAUCCUUGUUCAUUCCCAGGUCGCUCCCAGGCCACCAUACAACCACCAGGUGCAGAAGAGAACAGUUGUUCGGGGGCCCCACACCUUCAAGCUAACCACGGGGCCUCAAGCAGGAACUGAUUGUCCAUCUUCCUGUCACACAGGGUUCUCAACCGUUGUUGCACCCAUGGUCACCUCAGAAGCUCUUUUAAAACACUGAUGCUAAAAUUCCAAUCCAAACCAAUAAAUCAGAAGCCUCGGGGUAGAGCACGAACAACCCUAUGUGUUUAUAGCUCCCCAGAUGAUUUCCACUUACUCAACUACCCUCUUCUCAAUAAGUCUUUGACCUCAUAGAGAUCUUUGAUCCAUUGACCCGAUUGUUUUUUCACUAUUCAUCACUUCCUCGUGUCCUGGUGUUCAAACUCCCAUAGUCCAUAAUUAUAGUCACGUGCAAACACGCAAUCUUUCCCCACUGUUAAAGUCCCCUAACACUGUUAACUCACUGCCACAACCACUCCGUGCCUGGACCAGAUCUCCUAAAAAUCCCUAGGGAAAAACACGUAACCAACCAUGCUGGUUGUUUUAAUUUUAAAUCCACAAUCACAAAUCUCAGUUGGCACACAGCACAGCUCAAAAACCCUAUUAUGCUUUCAUAUUUUUGGUUUAGUAUACUACAGGCUCUGUUGUCUCUGCUUCAAACCUCCUAUAUUCCCUUCCCUUCCCACCACUCUUGGUGGUGGCUGAUGACGCUGCCUCAUAAUUCACUGUGAAAAUACAGAUACCAGAGGGAAUUCCUCGUCUUUCUACCUCCAAAUCUACAAAAUGACCCACAUCUGUAUUCACACGCUUUGCCCUCCCUCUGCUGGCUAUGGAUAAAGUGUUCCCUCUCCUAUGGAGAUCAACCCUCUAAUUUUGCUCUUGAUCUCUUCUCUUGUCUUUUGGGGGACUUCGUUCUUGCCUUCAUAUGAAUGCGUUGCCAGUUUCUUCCCACGGUUUAUAAAUAUCCUUCAGUAUCUUCCAUCUUAAAACAGAACAAACUUGCCUUGAUUCUACAUCCCUCUUGGCUAUCACACCAUAUGUCUGCUUCUCUUCACUUUAAAACUUUAAAAAGAAUUUUCUUUAGUGUGUCUCCCCACUUCCUCAAUACUUCAGGGAAAACACUAUCAUCAAGGUCAGCCUCACCUUCCAAAUAACUUUUCUUGGACAUCUAAAAGGAAUCUCAAACUUGAUAUGGCUACAAACAAUUUCUUUCUUCUAACUCCACAAAAUAAUCUGGCCCUUCUCCAGUCUUCCUAUGUCACUCAAUGGCAGCAUCUUUCACUCAGUUCAAGCCUUGAUUAUUCUCUUUCUCUCAUAUCCUCUGUACAAUUAAUCAAAAUGUUUUGUUGGCUACUCUUACAAAAUACACCCUGAAUCCAUUGGCCUCUCUCCAUUUCCUAUCACUCCAGUCCAAUCACCAUCAUUCUUCACUUGGACUUACCCAGCAGCCUCCUGACAGUCUCCCCUCUUCCACACUUGCCUCACAGCAUCCAUUUUCUACACAGCCACUUCUGCGAUCUUUCAAAAUCAUAGAUGACAUCAGGUCAUGUCCAACAGCUUCCCAUUACACUUAGAAUAAAUUCAAGCUCUUUCCGAUGACCACCUGACCCGGCCCUUGCCUACUCAUCAAAUCCCAUCUCAGAUCACUCCUCCCACCCACUUCCACCUUUGCUCCAGCCUAGGGGGCUCCUGGACAUUCCCCAAUCACCGUACACCAGACAAUCUCAAAGCCUUCACUUCUGCUGGAUCUGCCUAACAUGCUUGCCUCCAAGACCUUCCGUUGUCCAGCUCCUUCUUAUCUCAGCUCAGAAGUCACUUCCUCUCCCAGACCAUUCAUUCUAAAGCAGCCACCAACCAACUCAUCACUUUUUAUUAUGCUACUCAGUUUUCUUUUCUUCACGGCGCUUGUUCAACAAAUGAAGUGAUUUUAGCUGACAUCUCAAGAGUAGGUAAAUCUACCUUUAAAGAUACUCUCCAGGGAUUAAUUUAAUAAGGAAAGGCUUUGAGUGAGAUGAAUGCUGAGGAAGUCUGAAAACAAUGCCUCAUCUUUAAGGGCAGUCCCUGGGUUGUAUAGGUAAGUAUUAUUGGCUUUUUCAAAUGUUCUUCAGAGAAGUUUAAAAUCUGGUGAGUGUAAUCCCAAUUUCAGCUCUAGGUCUAACAUCUAGGUUCUUUGACUAUGCCACAUGGCCUAAAGAACUUUGGAUCUUAUAUCCUAUGUUCCUCUGUCUCAGCAAGCCACCAACUCAGGGGACUUCUUUCCUCUUUUUUUUGAGCAUUUAACCUGUUAGCCUCUGUGACUUGGAGUGACUUUCAUGAUGUUCUAAGCACUCUGGUCCUUCCUUCUCAGUGUAAAAGCUUUUCAUGGUUAAUUUAAGAAGUGAUUUUUUUCCACCAAACUUCCUUUUAACAAAAGGACAUAACUAAUUUUGCCUCCUUCUGAGUGAUGACAUCACUUGUGCUUUCAGAAGCUAAUUGGGAGAUAUCCAUUUUUAAUUUUUUGAUACCAUUGAUGAAUGAGAAAUAUAUAUGAUAUAAUAUAUAACAGAUAAUAUAUAAUAAAGUAUAAAUUCCUUUACUGCUAGUGGGAGUUAAACAGCACAUGUCCUUUGGAAAUAAAUUCUCUUCCCUGCUAUAAUAAUAGCUGGGUUCUUUUGUUUGUUUGUUUGUUUGUUUUUACUUCAGAAAUUCUGGAAUCAGUGUUCAGCCAACAGUAAUUACUGCUCAUUACAAUAAUCAUCACCAUCAGCCUGAUCGGUCCCCUGGGGCACGAGUCAGGGCCUAAGGAAGUGCAUUUUUAUCUAGGAUAAUGAAGAAUUUUACCUGAGGCCCAGGGCGGCCUCUCAGGGAGCCAAAUUUGAUGACUGAUACUGGCAGCUGUUAAUAUAUUGAAUUCUGAAGUCAGAAUCAUUGUUUUAAGUGUUUUCUGAGUGAAACCAUAUUCAAAGGAAUUUGAAAUUUCAAUCUCAUGUUGAAAAGUCUUUGUAGGUCCCAUGUAUGAAAUGAAAACGAGAACAAAUGUGGAUAAGUGGUUAGAAGUUUCUUAAGCAAGGAAAGUAACAUCAGCACCAACCCAUUUUACAGAGGAGUGGAGACUAGCCUCUGCUUCCUGGCUUGGGGGUUCCCUUUAAAGUAACAUGUAAUAGAAUGGCUGGGGAGGAGGGUGGGCACUGGAGGAAGAUCAGGCAUCGUAAAUGGUUUACAGAAUAAAAGCAUAAAAUCUCAGGAUUGAAGUGGAGCUGAGACUUGAGUCCCAGCAUUAGAGUGAACCUUUCUGAUGAACCAAGCAUUACAUAUAUUUAGGGUUCGGAAGUGGGGACCUAGGCUCUAUCUUUCAGGAGAUCAUAGUCUCGAGCAGGACUAUCAGUUAGGAUGCAGUCCAAAUGAAGCAUCCAAAUAAAAAAUCCAGCUACAGUGGCUUAACUCCAUAGGGUUGUAUUCCUCCCGAGGUGAGACCCGGAGGCGGGCAGUUCAGAGUCAUCCAGGCUCUAGCUCCAAAUAUCUUUCUGCUCCACCAUCACCAACAUAUGACUUGUCACUCAAGGCUGCUGGGUAGCGACUCUACCUCUUCUCAUGCCUCCUGCCAGCAAGGAAGGAAGAGGAAGAAUGAAGAGGAGGGGACUAAAGCUACCCGAGUGAGGAAAACAAAAUCUUCCCCAGAAAUCUCUAGAAGAUAUUCAUUUAUGUCUCCUGGCCAGAAUGGUGCAGCAAGGCUGCCCUUAUCUGCAAAGGAUUCUGGAAAGGCAAGUAUUUAAGCCAGGUAUAUUGCCACUUCAAACAAAAUAGGGACUUUGCCAUAACAAAAACGUGAGAAUGGAGAUUGGUUAGCCAUGAGGAGUGUCUGCCAUAGACUAACAAACACAUAACAAUUGCGCUACAGUGUGACUUGUGCAUAAUAAAUUUUUGCAGAACACAGGACUGUCCACCCUCCUGUGGGGGAGGUGUUAUGGAGGGCUUCACUGAGGAAGUAACACUUGCACUGAGUUUCAAAGAAAGAAUGGAAUUGGCAGAGUGAACAAAAGGGAGGACUACUUCAAGAGGGACUAAGAGAGUUAAGUGGGCAUGGAAAUGGUUGUACAUCAGAACAUUUUCAGCUGCCACUGACAGAAUGCAACUUGAACCAAAAAGUACAGAGGCAAGGGUUCAGGUAUGGCUGGCUCCAGUAGUUCAAAUGAUGUUGCCAAGUCUCAAUAUCUCUCUCUUUCUUCUCUUUGAUUCUCCAACAGCCAGUAAGCAGUUCCAGGCUUAUAUCCCAUCCUAUCAGCAGCCCCAGAAGUUCCAAUAAAGUUCUGCAUGUGCAUCUCAUUGGAAGAACUUGGGACAUGUGUCCAUCACUCUGACCUGUCACUGUGGACAGGAAAAUGGGAUAUGCUGACCGGGAAGGCUGGAUUCCAUAACCACCACUGAGCCCUACCCAAGCCACUUGAACUAAGAGUGGAAAAGAAAGUUCUUCAAAGGAAAACUGGGAGUAAAUAAAACAGGUAUGCCCUUUCCUUCCCAGACCUUCUGCAUCAGGGGAGGCUGGUCCUGCCUCAGUCCUGGAGGGUGAAUCCUGAUUGGUCUGAGACCAGGAUGAUGGUUCCAUUCCACUCACAAUGAUCGAUCCAGGCGUGUGCUUAUGUGAUUUGAGGGGAAGUCUGCUGCAAAACAACUGGGAAGAAUUCCUCCUUCUUAAAAAGAGGCACGAGGGAGAGACCAUCUGUUAUCUCCUAUAACCACCUUGCCACCAGGAGAGGAUCAUCACAAUAGCUGCUUUAAAGUCCAUCCAGGGGCUGGCCCCGUGGCCGAGU